rnacentral:tRNA from 1 species
UCCCUGGUGGCUCAGAUUGUAAAGCAUCUGCCUGCAAUACAGAAGACCCGGGUUCAAUCCCGGGUCGGGAA